rnacentral:snoRNA from 1 species
UUGUCCUGGCCUCUGCUUUUUCUACUCCCCUCUGUUUUUUGCGGCCCCUCCUGUGCUCAGUUCUAACAAGGUAGUAUGGCAGGACACACAGCAGUCUCCUUCAGUUUAGGAGGGCUGUCUUUAGAAUAGAGCUGUCUUUUAAAGGCACAAGAGUACAAU